GUAAAACUAAAAUAAAACUAGCAAACGUAAUCAAACCCGUAUAAACAUAUGGUACUUCGUGACACAGGAUGGUGAUUCUGAUCGUUUAGUGUGGUAUUGGUUUAGUUGUUUGGAGUUUUUUGCGUUAGUGAAGUGAAAUGGCAAUGUCUAAAGGCCACUCGGACGAGUCGGAUGAGGAGUUGCGUGGUUUCGCAGAGGAAGAUCCCGAAACCGCAAUUAAUACAGUGUUGGUGAAAGAAGCAUCCUUACUUCAACACCACUCUACGGAGUCGGAUAAUAAGAUAGUCAGGGGAGCCUCGGGGGUGGGCCCUAAGACAGGAGCAUUCGUUGAGCCUGACGGGGUGAAAGAAGUGAAAAAAGCUGAACGUGAUGGCAUAAUCCGGUAUUUGAAGCGUCAGGAAGUGUUUUUGCAAAGUUACGCACAAAGUGACGCAAUGUAUGUUCCAACAAGGUUGAAACGUGUUCGUUCGUAUUGGGAACAAUUCCAAGAAGUAACCCGUGAAAUUCGAUCGAUCGAGGGAAUAGUCCAAAUAAACGAAGAGCUGGUGGACGAAAUCGACGAACAGUACAUGUUGUUGAUCGGGUAAUUCGAGGAAAAGUUGAAGCGUCCAGAAAGUGACAGUGCAGUGGCAGUACGUGUUUUGGACGAACAAAAGGUUCGGCUACAGACACUUGCGCUGCCCGAAUUUUCGGGAAAUUAUGAUGAAUGGUUGCCUUUUUAAAGUUUGUACAAAACGGCAGUCCAUGAAAACAAUAGUUUAACGGAUACAGAAAAGAUAAUGGCUGCUAUUAUUGAAUCCGUCCGUAGCGGCGGCGUACGGCGCUCAUUUGUAAAUGAAUUUAUAACAGCCAAAUGACAGUAUACCACACCUGUUAGUAUGCGUAGUUCAGUGCUUUGUCGUCAUAACUACGAUCAAAGAUACCGUUGAUCGGUUUUCAGAAUCGGUAAUGAAAUUGUGAUUCAGUUGAAAGUGCAAACAUUACGUGCAUGUGUUAUAAUCAUUUCGCCUUUACACUUAAAAUGUUUUUCAUUCUGUUUUCCGACGACGACGAAAUACAGGAAAAAAGAGAUUUGCGUAACAAACGUAGAGUUUUACGGAAAAAAGCAGAUCCUUUUAAACUAUCAGACACAGCGUUUCUUCAAUGUUUCAGGGUUACGAAACCAAUUUUUUCGUUUAUUUUGGAAAAAAUUGAGCCUCAAUUAGAAUGUAUUAAAAGUAAUGGAGUGAGUGCAAAAAUUAAACUUGCUGCUUGUUUGAUUUUCUUCGGAGAGGGCAGAUAUCAGCACGGAACUGGACAAGACUUCCACAUAGCCAUGGCACAAACAACGUUUUCAAACACUUUGCGAGAUUUGAUACCACCUCUUAUCACACUAUUGGGCGAUUGGAUACAAUUGAAUAUGACAGAAUCUGAAAGAAUGGAGGCAAAACAAUAUUUCUUUGAAAAGUCGGGAAUAUCAGACGUGGUGAUGUGUGUAGAUGGGACCCACAUAAGGAUAGUAAAACCCAAAUAUCGCCCCCUUCGCUAUAUCAAUAGAAAAAAAUAUUACAGCCUCAAUGCUAUGAUUGUUUGCGAUCACAAAUAUCGCAUCAGAGCUGCGGACGCUAGAUUUGCAGGAUCUCAUCAUGACGCUUAUAUUUGGAGUGUUAGUCCCAUUCGCAAACAUUUUAGAGAUCUACAUAGUUCUGGAAUAACUGACAAGUUGUUGGGAGAUGCAGGGUAUCCUUCCGAACCAUGGCUUAUAACACCCAAUCGUAACCCAGAUUCAGGCACACAAGAAUCUAUUUUUAAUACAUUUCAUGCCAGAGGACGAAACAUCGUUGAGAGAACAAUAGGAAUACUGAAAUCCAAAUUUAGAUGCCUGCUUGGAGCAGAUGGGCGUCUUAAUU